GUGCUCUUAACCACUGAGCAAUCUCUCCAGCCCGACUCUGCAAGUUUCAGUGAGAUAUACAUGUUAGAAGCCUUCCCACAGGCUGUUUACCUAAAGAAACCACUGUUUUCCUGAGGCACUGACUAUCCAGAUGACAGUGUCCCACUGUGUGUCCCACAAAUAUGCUGGGCAAUCAGGGAUGCCUGUCUCACACUGGCAUUUUAUUGCUGACCUGCUGUACAGAUUCUUUUGACCACAACUUCAUGCCUGUUUAGUGCUAGACACCACAGGAGUUGCAAAGCACCACAACCCAAGGACACGCUUCCCAAAGCUGAAGUCAUCACAAAAGUCAGGACAGAGCUCCAGAAGGCACUGUACAAGAACUCAUGGUUAAGGCUGGCCAGCUCCCACACGUCUGCUACCACAGCUACUCUGCAGCCCAGACUGCAGGAUCCAGAAG